rnacentral:rRNA from 1 species
GUGUCAGCAGCCGCGGUAAUACGUAGGGGGCAAGCGUUGUCCGGAAUCAUUGGGCGUAAAGAGCGUGUAGGCGGCCCGGUAAGUCCGCUGUGAAAGUCCAGGGCUCAACCCUGGGAUGCCGGUGGAUACUGUCGGGCUCGAGUCCGGAAGAGGAGUGUGGAAUUCCUGGUGUAGCGGUGAAAUGCGCAGAUAUCAGGAGGAACACCAAUGGCGAAGGCAGCACUCUGGGACGUGACUGACGCUGAGACGCGAAAGCGUGGGGAGCAAACAGGAUUAGAAACCCUUGUAGUCC